rnacentral:rRNA from 1 species
UACGUAGGGGGCAAGCGCUGUCCGGAUUUAUUGGGCGUAAAGAGCGUGUAGGCGGCUUUGCAAGUCCGUUGUGAAAACUCGAGGCUCAACCUCGAGACGCCGGUGGAAACUGCAAAGCUAGAGUCCGGAAGAGGAGAGUGGAAUUCCUGGUGUAGCGGUGAAAUGCGCAGAUAUCAGGAAGAACACCCGUGGCGAAGGCGGCUCUCUGGGACGGUACUGACGCUGAGACGCGAAAGCGUGGGGAGCGAACAGG